AGAGGUCAUCCUUUGCCAUGAUCAAGUCAUCCAAGGUUACAUCAUCAGCCAGUGUCAUCCUGCUGGUGUGAAUCUGGAAGAUAUGCUUCUUGGUCUCAUCAGGCAGGGGGAACUCGAUCUUUCUGUCAAUGGGGCCUGGCCUGAUAAGUGCUGGAUCCAAAGUUUCUAUUUGGUUUGUGGCCGUGAUAACUUUUACAUCUCCCCUUGAAUCAAAUCCAUCCAACUGGUUCAACAGUUCCAACAUUGUUCGUCGAAUUUCUCUCUCACCUCCAGAGUUUGAAUCAUAUCUUUUGGUCCCAAUGGUGUCGAUCUCAUCAAUGAACACGAUGGACGGUGUGUGCUCCUCAGCAACCCGGAAGAGCUCCCGGACAAGUUUGGGCCGCGUCACCUACAUACUUCUGGAUAAGCUCUGAGCCAACCACUCGCAAGAGAAUGGCUGAAGUCUGGUUCGCUACUGCUUUGGCCAAUAGAGCUUUACCUGUUCCUGGUGGACCGUAGAGAAUGACCCCCUUAGGGGGCUUUAUCCCCAUCUCUUCGUAAUAGCCAGGAUGGGUAAGAGCAAGCUCCACAGACUCCUUAAUUUCUUGGAUCUGGUUGUCCAGUCCCCCAAUAUCUGCAUAGGUUUCCUGGGGGUCCUUUUCCACCUUCAUCACCGUGAUCAGGGGAUCCGUGUCAUCCAUUAGCACCCCUAUCACAGCAUGCACCUUGUGGUUGAGCAGGACUGAACAGCCUGGUUCCAGCAGAUCCUUGUCUACAAAUGGCAGGAUGCUGACUGUAGUGUUCUGAGCCCACAGAUGUGGACACAAUGGCAUGAUUAUCAUCAAUGAUCUCUUCCAAGGUUCCUACAGACAUGGGGGUCCCCCUGGGAUCAUCCAUUUUUGAUCUUUCCUCUUCUUGCUUUUCUUCUAAUGGUUUCAUCUGUUCCUGAUUUCUAAUGAAUUCCUCCUCCAUGAGAAGAUAGUCUUUUAUUCUCUCUAGCUUUAGUAAUUUCAGGUGGCACUGGGUGUGAGUUGUUACCAGUGGAAGUUUGCUGGCAGCAGCUGGUCCCUUCGUUUUCUUCUUCUUUUUCCCCACUCUAGUUGGGACAGGAGGUUCAUAUUCCUUUUUCUUGUCCUUGUCAUCCUUCUUGCCACCCCCAGGACCAUGGCCACCACUCUGACUUUGACCCAUCUUCCUUCAGUCGUCCAAGUCGCCACCGCCGGAAGUGCAUCCGUCAAAGCGACCCCUCAUCUUCACCUCUUAAAACUCACUUAGGCUCCAUACUCUCUCCUUUUAACUUCUAGAAUUCCAAACACACAUGUGUCAUUAGAUUUACUCACCAUUUUCUCUGGUUUAUUAUUUUUUUUCUUCAUGGUUUUCUGUCUUUCAGUUUCUCUAUCCAUCAUUCUAGAGCUUUUCCAUUUGCAUAUCUUUCAUUUCACUCAUUUUCUCCUCAACCAUGUAUAAUCUUUUACGAAGCCUAUCAAAUAUAUUAUUUUUAAGUUCUAGAUUCACUAUUUGACUCUUCUUCAAAUAUGCCAUGUCCUUUACUACAGUUCCUAUACAUUAUGAUUUAGAUUGAGAGUAUCCUCUGAAAGACUUAUUUAUUGAAAGCAAAGCCUGGUCCCCGGCUGGUGGCCCUACUGAGAAGUGACUGGGUCUGAGUUUCAAGAGUAAUCUAUGAAUCAGUCCAUUGGCAGACUCUUAAUUUGAAACAUGAUUGGGAGGUCAUGAAAACUGGUCAUGGAGCCUAGCUGGAGAAAGUGGGUUGCUUGGAGUUUACCCUUGAAGAGAAUUUCUUAUUUUGAUCCCUCUCUCCCCUCCUUUCCCUCUCUCCCUCAUGCCCGUCACGAGGAGAGACCUUUUAGUUUUCUACCACAUCUUUCCUGCCAUGAGGUUCCGCCUCACAAUGUAUGAGCCCUGGGGCAGUGGAGUCAGGAGACCAUGGACUGAAACUGUGAGCUAAAAUCUUUUUUUUCCCUUAGUCAGUCAGCUAUUUUGUCCCAGGAAUAAAAAGUGACCGAGACACUAGAUCACUACAAAAAGUCUCAGGAGUUUCCCUCAGAUACCAAGCCUAGGCACUUAAGAAAUACGUUCAAGAUUUCCAAUAUAUAGGCCAUAGAGAUGUAGUUCCUUGGCAUAGCACUUGUGUAGCAAGCACAAGCCCCUGAAUUUGCUUUCUACCAAUGGCAAAAUAAACCAGAAUUCCAGGAUCUAGAGCAGGGGUUCUCAACCUGUGGGUCAUAACCCUCUUGAGCAUUGAAUGACCUAUUCACAGGGUUUGGUAGCCUAAAACAACCUGAGAACACAUUUACAUUAUGAUUCAGAACAGUAGCAAAAUUAUAAUUAUGAAGUAGCAAUGAAAAUAAUUUUAUGGUAGGGUGUCACCAGAACAUGAGGAACCAUAAUAAAAGGUCUCAGCAUUAGGAAGGUUGAGAGCCACUGCUCUAUAGAGCCUACACUGGGCUGUUCUAUUAUUUGUUCUCUUUUCUGAUUUAGUUCAUUUCAGAUAUGAUUAGUACACAUACUCUAUACCUGGGAAUUCACUUCACGUUGUAUUUUGUAAAAUUAUUUGUAGAAUUCCUAUGAGACAUUGGGUAUUGGAAAUGGUUCACAUAUAUUUAUUCCAGGUUUUUAGGGCACACUAGAAACCCAGGCUUACCUUAAUCCAAUUUCUUACCCUGGUACUGUUUAAAGUUUGGCCAGAAAGUUCAGAGUUCACUUUUACUUGUAGGUGUAGCCUUUAAGACUCUCAGCCCAAAGAUGUAGUAGUGGGAGAGGUCAGACAACUUCUUUUAUCGCCCUAAAUUCCAACUUUUAUUCCCUCAGCCCCAUAAGCCUGUUGAAGUCAUUGGUCAGUCUCUUGGCCAGUACAUCCAGAUUCUGCAAACAUUCUGAAGUCCAAGACCGACUUUUGUGGAUUUCCUCUUUAUUUUGGAACCAGUAUCAGUAGAUUGUCAACAUUUCUCUCUUUUUGAUGUCUUUGAACAGAGUUCUAAAAAAAAAAAAUCAUUAUUGUUUGACUUCUGUUUUUUAAAUUGUAUGCACCUGGGUGUUUUGCCUGCACAUAUGUCUGGGCACCACCUGCAUGCCUGGGGUCCAGAGAGGCCAGAAGAAGGCACUGGAUUCUCUUGGGACCGAAGUUACAUGUGGCUGUGAACCAGCAUAUGGGCUGUUUAGCUUUUAAGUUCUCCUCACCAGGGGAGACUACUUAGUCUGUGAUUGUUGACAACAUGCCUUUUUUUUAAUGUUUUUCACUUUAAAAGCAUUCUUUUAUAUUUCCUUUCCUAUCAAAAUGUUGUUUUCUGUUAUGUAGUAGUGAUGAGUUGGUAAAUAUUUUGUUUUAGUAUGUUGUGUUUUAAUGUCUCAUUUAAUCAAAGAUAAUAUCAAAUAUCAUUCACCAACGUUCUUCUAAACUUCGAAUGGCUUAUAAAAUACAUAGCUCUAUAAAUCUCUGCACAAUUGCAAUUAUAACAACAUCAUGUAGUAUGUAGAGUGGGAACGCUCAUUAUUCUCACUUUUCAGUGAGGAGACUGGGCCACAGACAUCAAUACACAGCUUACACAAAUCAUGCAGAAAGCACAUGCUGUGUCGGAUUCCAAGCCCAGCUUCAUCUUUCUCCAGAAACCAAGGUUUAGGUUUUUUUUUUUAAUUGUGGUUACAUGUACAUCAUAUAAAGCCUAUCCUUUCAACUCUCCUUAAACGUAGGCUUUCGUAGUAUGUCGGGCAAUCCCCUGUUGCACCACUAUCAUGCUCUCUCUUUCUGUAUGGCACUUUCCUCUUCUCCAACUGACAGUCUGUGCCCAUGAAACACUAACUUCCAGUUUUCCCCACCCUGCAAUCUAUGUAAACACCAACCAACAUCUCAUCUCAUAAACAUGCCCUAUAGGCGGAAUCGCAUCCAUCUGUUUGAGGCUAGCUUAUUCCCAGACCCAAUGUCUUGGGUUGCUUCCAUCUUUUACUUGUGGCUAAGUAUACUCACAUAGUUUAUUCAUUCAUCCAUUCAUUCAACAAAUAAGUUCAUAAGCUAUGACUGAACAUGUAAAAUUCAUCACAGCAGGGUGUGAAGAUGUGGGAACCAGGCAGGAGCCAACAGAAAUAUAUGCACAGGUUGGAAUUAACAAACAGCUUAUGAAAAAUAAAUACAGAAGAUUUAUAAGAAAAGAU
rnacentral:lncRNA from 1 species